rnacentral:rRNA from 1 species
GGAUUCCCCUAGUAACUGCGAGUGAAGCGGGAAAAGCUCAAAUUUAAAAUCUGGUAGUCUUCGGCUGCCCGAGUUGUAAUCUAGAGAAGCAUUAUCCGCGCUGGACCGUGUACAAGUCUCCUGGAACGGAGCGUCAUAGAGGGUGAGAAUCCCGUCUUUGACACGGACUACCAGGGCUUUGUGAUGUGCUCUCAAAGAGUCGAGUUGUUUGGGAAUGCAGCUCUAAAUGGGUGGUAAAUUCCAUCUAAAGCUAAAUAUUGGCGAGAGACCGAUAGCGAACAAGUACCGUGAGGGAAAGAUGAAAAGAACUUUGGAAAGAGAGUUAAACAGUACGUGAAAUUGUUGAAAGGGAAACGCUUGAAGUCAGUCGCGUUUGCUGGGGAUCAACCUUGCUUCUUGCUUGGCUUACUUCCCAGUAGACGGGUCAGCAUCAAUUUUGACCGGUGGAUAAAGGCUAAGGGAAUGUGGCAUCUUCGGGUGUGUUAUAGCUCUUGGUCGCAUACAUCGGUUGGGAUUGAGGAACUCAGCACGCCGCAAGGCCGGGUCUUCGGACCACGUUCGUGCUUAGGAUGCUGGCAUAAUGGCUUUAAUCGACCCGUCUUGAAACACGGACCAAGGAGUCUAACAUGCCCGCGAGUGUUUGGGUGGAAAACCCGAGCGCGUAAUGAAAGUGAAAGUUGAGAUCCCUGUCGUG